AACAUUUACAACGACGUUACUAUAUACAUCGGCAGGUUUCGGCCCUAGUUAACAAUUGAAAGUCACGUGCAAGAGAUCGAGAUCUUAGGUUUUUGUUGACGGCGUGACCACGUGACUUUGCAUAAUUAUUAUCACGCCCUUCGUAAAGCUUUAGGUUCCCGGUACGAGAAAGCAGUAGCCAGUCAACUAAAUGUUACAGUAGCGCAAACACCUACACGGAGUCGUUCCAGUGUUAAGACAAUCUUCCGGCGCGUACAAGGUUUCCGGAAUUUCGUUUGUACACGUGAUCUAGGCUAGCACAAUGUUGCCUGUACUGUUGUCUUUGGUCUUCUUAUUGGUGACCAACUUCCCGCAGGCACAGAGCACCGUGUGUACAUACUCGUGCUCACAAAGAUACACAGUGGAUUGUGGUUUUAUGGCAUGGGGCAAAUGCUCAAGAUACAGGAGCCAAACGUGCUACCGAUGCUGUGCUGGGUGGACAGGAAGCGUCAGCACUGGUUGCAUUACACCUGAACGGUCCGCCGGACAAUAGCUGAAACCUCUCUACACAAAUAGAAAGAUUUUGGCAAACCUGUUUACCAAGUUGAUGAAGAGUUUGGCCCGAUAAAUCAAGACAAUUUGGCAUCUGUACAUAGUUGUAUUGUCAUGACACGAAGCUUGCUAGGUUAUUACCAUUCGUUAUCACAUAAUAUUCGAGAUACAUUAAUCCUAAAUUCCGCAAACAACAUGUGCAUUGAUGUAGUGCAGGGGACACAUUCGCAAGGCACUUUGUCACUAAUUGCUUCUCCCCACUCGGGAGUGAAUGGGUACCUGUGAGGGCAGAGAUGGUUAUUGUGAUUGAGUUAGCUUCCUUGCGC